UACGGGGGGAGCAAGCGUUGUUCGGAUUUACUGGGCGUAAAGGGCGCGUAGGCGGUCAGCACAAGUCAGUUGUGAAAUCUCCGGGCUUAACUCGGAAAGGUCAACUGAUACUGAUGUGCUAGAGUGCAGAAGGGGCAAUCGGAAUUCUUGGUGUAGCGGUGAAAUGCGUAGAUAUCAAGAGGAACACCUGAGGUGAAGACGGGUUGCUGGGCUGACACUGACGCUGAUAGCGCGAAAGCCAGGGGAGCAAACGGG
rnacentral:rRNA from 1 species